ACUCUUGCUUUGUUCACCUUAAAUCCGUGUAAUUCUUUUUUUCAGUUUAUAACGUCAUUAAUGAUAAGCCCAGAAUAGGCACGUGCAGGCCCUCUUUAUUUCUCGAGAUAUACGAACGUGAUGGACACGCAAAAAUAACCACAAAAGAUUCUCGAAUGACGCCGUAACUUGGACAAAUGAAUGAAAAAAGGUUAUGUAAAAAGGACACCAUUUUUGAUUGACAUGGGACGGAGUUAGGAUAAUGACGUUUGACAUCCAGAGCGUUCACACGUGCUCCUACUGAUCAUUCUAAAAGUUUUUCUUUUUUUAAGAAUUUUACAAAUUUAAAGUGGGGGUUGAAGGAGGGAUAAGGAGGGGGAGACUCAACGUUGGAUUCAACUUCUUUAGCUUAAAAAAAAAAGAAAAAAAAGAAAAAAAAAAAGAAGAAAACCGAAAGAAAAUAAUUCUGUCACUCGAAUCACAUCGAAUCACGGGAAUUGACAUAUAUUCGAGAGAUUCUGUAGGGUCGUCAACACCAUGAAACCACCCGUUGUGAGCCUGGUAUUCAUCCUUAGAAAUACACGGUAAAAGUGGUUUCUACUUCAAGAUACAUAUAUAUACAUAGGUAUAUAUAUAUAUAUAUGUAGAAAGAGAGAGAGAGAGAGAGAGAGAGAGAGAGAGAGAGAGAGAAUCGUUGACACCAUAUUUGAUGUUCUCUACCGAUGAUUCUUCUCCCUUUUCAAACAUUAAAUUCUCACCAAAUCGACCGUUCGAUCUUAUCGCUGACACAAAUUGCCAACUUAAUGUGUGGGAGGGGUGUGCGUGGAAAUUUCUAAACUUAUUUAGAAAUUUGAUUGACAGGAAUUAUCGUUUAUCAAUAAUCUGUUAUUUAUAUUAC